rnacentral:rRNA from 1 species
CGGGGGCCCGCACAAGCGGAGGAACAUGUGGUUUAAUUCGAUGAUACGCGAGGAACCUUACCUGGGCUCGAACGCAGGGGGAAUGUAGGAGAAAUCUUACAGCUAGCAAUAGCCGCCUGCGAGGUGCUGCAUGGUUGUCGUCAGCUCGUGCCGUGAGGUGUCGGCUUAAGUGCCAUAACGAGCGCAACCCUUAUUGUUAGUUGCCAGCGGGUAAAGCCGGGGACUCUAACAAAACUGCCAGCGUAAGCUGUGAGGAAGGCGGGGAUGACGUCAAAUCAGCACGGCCCUUACGUCCAGGGCUACACACGUGUUACAAUGGCCGGUACAGAGGGCAGCUGCCCCGCGAGGGGAUGCAAAUCUCUAAAGCCGGUCCCA